UGGGGAAUAUUGGACAAUGGGGGGAACCCUGAUCCAGCCAUGCCGCGUGUGUGAAGAAGGCCUUAUGGUUGUAAAGCACUUUAAGCGAGGAGGAGGGUACUGGUAUUAAUACUACCAGCUACUGGACGUUACUCGCAGAAUAAGCACCGGCUAACUCUGUGCCAGCAGCCGCGGUAAUACAGAGGGUGCGAGCGUUAAUCGGAUUUACUGGGCGUAAAGCGUGCGUAGGCGGCUAAUUGAGUCGGAUGUGAAAUCCCCGAGCUUAACUUGGGAAUUGCAUUCGAUACUGGUUAGCUAGAGUGUGGGAGAGGAUGGUAGAAUUCCAGGUGUAGCGGUGAAAUGCGUAGAGAUCUGGGGGAAUACCGAUGGCGAAGGCAGCCAUCUGGCCUAACACUGACGCUGAGGUACGAAAGCAUGGGGAGCAAACAGG
rnacentral:rRNA from 1 species